rnacentral:misc_RNA from 1 species
GUUAUAGUUCCAUUGAAGAAGUGAAAAAUGCUUACGAGAAACUGUCUUCCAAGUGGAAUUCAGGCAGCGAGGUUCCUACUGCUGCUAAUUUUUUAGAGAUUCAAUAUGCUUACGAGUUGUUGACGAAUCCUUUGUGGAAAAGGGACUACGACAUUUUUGGCAUUGAUGAGCAACUUCUUGCUCUUGACAAGUUCAAAGAGCAAUAUGCUGGGGAAAGCUUUUCACGCAUUGGACUUCCCUUACUAGAAGCUACAUAUUCUGAUCCUGGAGAUCAUGCUCUUACUGUUGUUACAUCUGAGAACUUCGGGUCUAUGUUUACUAAUUCUAAGACAUGGCUCAUUGAGAUAUAUUCAGAUGGGAGCAGCCGCAGUGCUCAAUUCUUUAAUUCUUGGAAAGAAAUCACUUCUUUAUUGGAAGGGGUUGCAAACACUGGUAUGGUGGAACUUGGCGAUGUGCAACUUACAACGUCCCUUGCUGAGAGAAAACCAACAGGGCAUUUCUUCUUUAGGAAUGGGCUUCCUUCACUAGUGGCUUUUCCACCGGGGUGUAGAACUUCAGAUUGUC